CUGGGGCCAAGAACCUCCAGUAGUGCAGUAGGACUUCAGCACCUUGGACAGCGACCAUUACCACUAAGGCAGGCCUUUGAUAAUCAGCGCAAUCCAAUGCAGCUGCUGCUUGAUUGGCAGCGAGGAACACCUGCCACUCAUGAGUCCACCAACAUUGAGGCAGCUACAAAGUCAGAGGUCUGUUCUCGAGAGAUGAAAGACACGCCUCACCUCAGUAGGCCGUAGCCGCUGCUCUGCUCAGCCAACCCCUGCUCAAUCUGUUUUGAUCACAAUCUCAACAGCUGUGCGCGCUUCCGAUCAGAACUUUCCAGGCCUCCACCAACUUGGAUACCACCAAAUCUUACUUAAGCCCCUGUCCCGGCCACAUGUGAUAUUGAUGGGAGAGAAAGAUGAUGAUGAACCAUGAUGAUGGUCUGAAAUUCCACUGAACAACCAGCAUUUCCUGAUCAUUUUUUUCGAAGAACGUCUUCACCGAUUGUCUGUGUCGUCAACCUCUCGCUCAAGCCCAAUUUCAGUAUAUUGUCGUUUCCUGGUAAAAAGUUUUCUUUAAACUUUUUUAUUUAAUUCAUGACACUGCAUACUUUGCUAACCAUCCCUUUAGUUUGAAAUCCGAUUGUUUUUAUGAACAAUAUUUUCCUUUGAUUUAAUUGGUGUGGAGUAUGUGAAUCAUGAUCGAUAUUUAGCCCUAUUUUAUCGUAAGGAAGCCAAGUCUUUCACCAAACGCAUUAAUUCUCAUGUUUGUCAGAUCAUUUCGAUUAGGGGGCACUUUUUCAAUGAAUGUGAAAUUGGCAAAGUGAUAGGAGUUGUCACAGUACGCACUGGAAAUGAAUACAGAAUGAAUGCCUUGUUUUGUUUGUUUGACAAUAAUGGGAGGUCUGGCCUACAAGCCUUAUUAAGCAAUUGACUGACGUGCACUGUCUCUAUUGAUUGUCAAUCAAUUACAAAAAUAAGCUUAGUUUUGGGGAAAUAUUACUUGGCUGAAAUUGACACAAUGGCAUUCUGCUAGUCUUUGCUCUGGUGGUGUGUGUCUGUGUGUGUAGGGAACGACUUUGGUAGCACGAACUGGUAGCUAAUACAAUUGUGUCAACUACAAAACCCUUACUCCACUUAAUCGUUCCUGCUUACUGUGUGCUUUGUAAUACCCCUAGAAAACCAGGCUUCAUGAGUAAUCAGCUAAAAAAGGCAAGGAAAAGCUAUUUGGCAAAUCAGGCCUCCCAGAAUGCAGUAAAACAUAGCUGUCAAAGUUAUAAUUAAUUGGGGAGAAGAAGUGAAGUUAAUGCAUCAAUGAAUAGUAUGGAUACAAAUAUAUAUAUAUACAUAUUUUUUAAUAAUUUUAACGCAGGGAAUUGGGAUUCAUCGGCUCUAUUCCUUUGUCAGGACAGUAGCAGAGCAUUUGAACACACACACUUCUGUCUUUGUUUAAUACCACUGCAGCAGAGCAAGGGCAUUAAACAAAGACAGAAGUUUGUUUAUGAGCAGCACGCUGAUAAAACUGGUUCAACGAGAGUUCGGAGAGUUCACGCUGCUGUCUAUUUCUUCCCUUCCACUACCUUGCCGGCAGCAAGACAAAAACCUUUUUCAAGGAAACCAUGCUGAUCUUCUUCCUACUCUGUUUCUAACGCUGCAAAAUGCCUCCUGAUCAGCUCUUUUUAAGAGUUAUCUCUGUGUGGUGUCCUCCUUUUAGCAACGCUAUGUGGGAAAGCAUGGGUCACGAUCUGCCACAGUAUUUUUCUCAGUAAUGUGUGUUGCUUAUUUUUUACCGGAGCCAACGAUAGCUCCUUCUAGGCAGGGGUUGCUUCCUUUAAAGAACUGUGCACAUGGAUAUAUUAAGAAUUUUAAGAAGGAUCUCAUUUGCAAACAUUAUAUAAUUAAACAAGUAGGAAAGCAUCUGCGUCUGUGGAUAGUUGUAAGCCAGAACUGACAAGACUCAGGAGUGAUCUCCAUGCCCUCUCUGUGAAGAGAUCAUCCAAUUAGUCUAAAUGUACGCUAGAUUUGAAGAACAAACUGUCGCCUGUCUCGGCAAAUUACCCACGCUAAGGUGGGACCUGACGACGAGAACGUGAAACUUAACUUAUUCAUUCCCCAAUAAGAUGUCCAAAAAAUAAAAAGGUCCCAUUUAUUCUUGCCUGUGAUAGCAGAGGAACGUAUGGUUCACUUUGAAGUGUAAGUUACAAUACAAAAUACAGGUAUCCACUAAGUAUAAUAACCCUCCAUCUCUUGGUGUGUAAGCGCUUGGUUAAUUAAGCGUGCUGGUCUCCAGACUGCCACUAAACGGGCGUGUACAACCUCCUAACUGCCUAGCCUAGCGUGAUACGGAUGUUGAUGGAGUCACGUCGGAGCUAGUGUCUCUUAUGAAGUGUUUCUGUUUAUUCAUAUGCAGUCGGGGAAUUGAGCGUUGACUUUGGACAUGUGGGCUGAAGCUCGAACGUAUAAAAAGCUGACAUUGUAAGUUCACGCUCAGCAAGCUAUUUAGUUUCUUAGCACAGAAUUGUGUUGAGCUAAUCAGUUGCUAUUGCAGCACUGGAGCUGCCAAUGUCCUCACAAUGUUAGGAAAUCUGUCAUUUAGAGCGUUUUGAUCAUAGUCAAGCAUGCCUGCUGUAACUGCAGAUCAGUUUUAGUGUUAUAUUUCUAGUUAAAUAUAUAUAUAGUUAUAGAGAUCAGAUGGUUAGGCUGAAACCAAGGUAAAAGCACCAGUCUACCUAUAUUAAUCCCACUGCUAUUGCAGCCACAAGUCACCUGGUACACAUUAAAACAGUGAUAUUGCUUAUGUAUAACCGCCUGCGCACACAAGUGUAUCUAAUGCUAGUAUUGCCAAAUAUCGAAAAUGAAACUGUUAGUGGGCCAUGCCAAUUCACAAUAUUAUAAAUCAACCGAGUGCUCGUCUUCCACCCAGCGGCCAGCAGCAUGCCAUACACAGUAUUGUUUAUUAGUUUCUUAAAACCUAAACUCCAUCUGUGUUCACG
ensembl:lncRNA